CUGGGUCAUCGGACACAUUUUUUAAACUAUAAACCACAAUGAUAAUUGUCGCCAAGUUUGAUUAAAUUUGGCAAAGUAGUUUUAGAGAAGAAGAUUUUUAGAAAAGUUACAAAAAAUGAUAAAAAGUUGAUAAAAAUUGACUAUAAAGGGCAAUAACUCCUUAAGGGGUCGACUGGCAAUUUUGGUCAUGUUGACUUAUUUGUAGGUCUUACUCUGCUGAACAUUAUUGCUGUUUACAG
rnacentral:lncRNA from 1 species